rnacentral:rRNA from 1 species
AGUGAACGCUGGCGGUAGGCCUAACACAUGCAAGUCGAACGGCAGCACAGUAAGAGCUUGCUCUUACGGGUGGCGAGUGGCGGACGGGUGAGGAAUACAUCGGAAUCUACUUUUUCGUGGGGGAUAACGUAGGGAAACUUACGCUAAUACCGCAUACGACCUACGGGUGAAAGCAGGGGAUCUUGGACCUUGCGCGAUUGAAUGAGCCGAUGUCGGAUUAGCUAGUUGGCGGGGUAAAGGCCCACCAAGGCGACGAUCCGUAGCUGGUCUGAGAGGAUGAUCAGCCACACUGGAACUGAGACACGGUCCAGACUCCUACGGGAGGCAGCAGUGGGGAAUAUUGGACAAUGGGCGCAAGCCUGAUCCAGCCAUACCGCGUGGGUGAAGAAGGCCUUCGGGUUGUAAAGCCCUUUUGUUGGGAAAGAAAAGCAGCAGGUUAAUACCCCGCUGUUCUGACGGUACCCAAAGAAUAAGCACCGGCUAACUUCGU